rnacentral:rRNA from 1 species
AUAGCUUGCUAUGGAGGAUAAUUAGUGGCAGACGGGUGAGUAAUGCAUAGGAAUCUACCUAGUAGUAUGGGAUAGCCACUAGAAAUGGUGGGUAAUACUGUAUAAUCCCUGCGGGGGAAAGAUUUAUCGCUAUUAGAUGAGCCUAUGUUAGAUUAGCUAGUUGGUAGGGUAAAGGCCUACCAAGGCGAUGAUCUAUAGCUGGUCUGAGAGGAUGAUCAGCCACACUGGAACUGAGAUACGGUCCAGACUCCUACGGGAGGCAGCAGUGGGGAAUAUUGGACAAUGGGCGCAAGCCUGAUCCAGCUAUGCCGCGUGAGUGAGGAAGGCCUUAGGGUUGUAAAACUCUUUCAGUAGGGAAGAUAAUGACGGUACC